rnacentral:rRNA from 1 species
AUACAUGCAAGUCGUACGCUUCUUUUUCCACCGGAGCUUGCUCCACCGGAAAAAGAGGAGUGGCGAACGGGUGAGUAACACGUGGGUAACCUGCCCAUCAGAAGGGGAUAACACUUGGAAACAGGUGCUAAUACCGUAUAACAAUCGAAACCGCAUGGUUUUGAUUUGAAAGGCGCUUUCGGGUGUCGCUGAUGGAUGGACCCGCGGUGCAUUAGCUAGUUGGUGAGGUAACGGCUCACCAAGGCCACGAUGCAUAGCCGACCUGAGAGGGUGAUCGGCCACAUUGGGACUGAGACACGGCCCAAACUCCUACGGGAGGCAGCAGUAGGGAAUCUUCGGCAAUGGACGAAAGUCUGACCGAGCAACGCCGCGUGAGUGAAGAAGGUUUUCGGAUCGUAAAACUCUGUUGUUAGAGAAGAACAAGGAUGAGAGUAACUGUUCAUCCCUUGACGGUAUCUAACCAGAAAGCCACGGCUAACUACGUGCCAGCAGCCGCGGUAAUACGUAGGUGGCAAGCGUUGUCCGGAUUUAUUGGGCGUAAAGCGAGCGCAGGCGGUUUCUUAAGUCUGAUGUGAAAGCCCCCGGCUCAACCGGGGAGGGUCAUUGGAAACUGGGAGACUUGAGUGCAGAAGAGGAGAGUGGAAUUCCAUGUGUAGCGGUGAAAUGCGUAGAUAUAUGGAGGAACACCAGUGGCGAAGGCGGCUCUCUGGUCUGUAACUGACGCUGAGGCUCGAAAGCGUGGGGAGCAAACAGGAUUAGAUACCCUGGUAGUCCACGCCGUAAACGAUGAGUGCUAAGUGUUGGAGGGUUUCCG